GUAUUAAAUUCUUUAAGUAAAAAUUCAUCAAAGGUGUAGUAUGUUGAAUUCGCAUUUCAAUUUCAAUAAUAAUCUAUUUUCUAUCGAAAUAGAAUGUCUAACAUAAAUGUAUUCCUGGAAAAGGUGAACACACCUACAAUGAAUUCUAAAAUAUAUUUCACUUCACUUUACGCUUGAAAUUGCACAAUUCCUUCCAUAGCAUCGUCGUAUAUUGGCACAUACGUUCGAAAUUCUUGCGCAAUGACAGUUUGCAGAUUUUCCGCUCGCCACGCGCGUAGGUGUCGAUUGCAUUCGCGAAAUGUUGAGUAGACAUCGCAAAGGAACGCUUCGAUCAUCGACGAACUUGGUUUUAUCGUUGAAUUUUUGUCCGCGUGUUUCUCGUUGCGAAUAAGUUUCGCGCCACUGCCGCCAUUUGCAUAAUGGCGUCCGCGCAAAAUCACUGUGACGACACCGCCGUCGUAUGCAAAUCUUAAUACCCGUUUAACGUUUGAAUUAUGGCCGAUUAAAUGGCAGAUCGACCCAGAUCCUUGUGAAAAAAAGUUCAAUUCGGUCUCCUCGUCGAUGGAUAUUGCGAAACUUGUAUCGCCGAAUUCUGUUGGAAUUUACCUCGGAAUGGACUCGUUUGGACAGUUUGGUUAGGUUCAUCGUGUUGAGAAAUGGGCGAUUCACGGAACGAAUUGUGGACAUCGAACGAUACGAUUUCAUAAAGAUUUACCAAGUCAUCGUGUGGCUCUUUCUGAACACGAGCCUCGAGUCCAACUGUUUUGACACUCGUUCGUCUCGUAGCCGGCCUCUGCUCCUCUCGUCGGCCUUUCUUCUUCUCCGGCCUCCGAAUUCCAUGCCGAGUUAUAUCAGAAUAUCUAUGGACUCGUCUGGACCACUUUUCGCUUAAUCGUCUUCUACUCUUCGUCUGGUACCGCCGCUACCUAGCGAACAUCUGUCCGUAAUGCCAUGUUGCUCUUUUAACUGAAUAUCGUUGUUUGGACGUUUAGAAGAUAAUAAUUGAUGAUUAAAUAGAUAAAAACUUGGAAAAUACAACGGUUUAAUACUCAGCGAUUGGAAACAGUAAAAGGAAUUUUGAAGUUUAAGGAUAAUCUAGAAGAGAAUCUUCCUACACGAAAAGCGAUACGACAAGCCGGAGGAUGUUCCGCGAUUGCAGUGACGCACGCAAACGUACAAAGGUCGCCUCGUAAAUAGUUUAAUCUCCGAGCGAUCAAGCUGGCGUCUGAUUAAAACUGUCUCGCCUCUGUUAAUCAUUAUCUCUCCCGUUCGAAAGUACAAAGAUGCGUUUUGUCUUCGUCGUGAAUUUUUGUAUUCCUUUAAAAAUUUAACGAGCCUGGAACAGUUCGUCCAGUGUUCCAUUUUGUGUAUCGGUAUCCAAUCACGAUUAUCGAAGAGAAGAAAAAACUCAUUAUGCUAAUCAUCGAAAGACGGGAGAAGAAUGUUUAUGUUAUUACAUAAUUAUCAAAAUUGAUGAUUUCAAACUUUUGGAAAAAAUAUUCGAAAAUUUCCAGACUCGUGACACUUGCAUAAUUUAAUUUCAAAUUCAACAUUCAUUCAUAUCCAGUUCUUCAAAGUUGUGUUCACGUUUUUUGGAAAAAUAAUUCAAAGUUUCAAUUCAUUAUUAUAGGUACAUUAUUCGACUUAUUUCAUUUAUUUCAUUUCUCAAUAUUUCUUUUCUAUUUUCUCUCCUCUUACAUUUUUUUUAUGACUCAUAAAUUCAUAAUUUCUUUUUAUAGAGUUCCAUUCUAUAAUUGUUUAUAUAAGAUAUCUUAUAUAUAUAUAUAUAUACAACAAGAUAAAAAUAAAAGAAAAAAGAAAUAAGGAAAAAUGCUAGUAAUAAAUGAGCGAGGUCCGAAGGUGUCGAUGGCGGGAUCGAGGUUACCAAGAUGACCAACAAAUGUCCAUAGGAGGAGAACGGACACAGGCGGAGGUGCAGCGGCGUGUACAUAGUUGGAAGGCGAGGCAGGCGCACAGUAGUCAUUCCCGUGGCACGUCGUGACGAGUCUCGCGGAGUCUCUCAGACUGCUAUCUUUCUGACAUUGAGGCGCCGGUAUCUGUGCCACCAAGUCUCAGCGUACAACCUGCUGCGACCGAGAUAUGCCUCUCCCGACCGGCACAACUUUGCGCCGUUUUGACGUGCGCCAGAUAACUAACGUCCCCUCUCUUUCUCUCUUCCUCUUCUUCUUCUUACUUGCCCUCUGACAUGGUCGAAAGCGUGGCCCUGCAAGUGUAUCUCGGAAUCGCUCUUUCGAACUCGAGCCAUAAGAAUAUCGCAAAGAUUCUCUAUUUUCUCUGGAUAUCUGUCUGGAUAUGGGAACUUCCUAGAAUGAUUAGGAUUAACUCUCAGUUAGAUAGAUAGAUCAGUCGUUGAACAGCAAGGAUGCAUCGUAUCGUAUGAAGAGAUCACGACAGAAUGUAAUAUUUUUCAAUUGAUUUCACUCUCAAUAGAAGAGAGAUCCGUCCAAUAAGUUAACUUUCACUCUAUCCAGGAAUGGACAUCUUUCACCAACUUUACCCUAACCACCUUCAUCAUUCCCAAUCUCAAACCCAGCGACUCGCGAUACGAAUUUGCCAACGAAUUCAACUCCAUCCUCGCCUCCGACGAUUCAUUCAUCGUCGUCGUUAUCCACGAUUUUCUGGAGUUCGCGUGGGGCCAGCCUCGCCGGGGCAAAGAAGCCAGAGUGCGCGCAGGUAUAAAGCGAUGCGCUAGCAGUCGUUUGACGACGGCUAUGAAUAAUUCAUGGACGGCGUUUCCUCAUACAGCUCGAAUGCUCUUCUGAGAACGUGGCAGGACACAGGAAAGCGUCGAUAACGAUCUCUCCCUAGCUCUCCUCCCUCCCUCUCUCUCUCUUUCACACACACA